AUUGAACGCUGGCGGCAGGCCUAACACAUGCAAGUCGAACGAGUGGCGGACGGGUGAGUAAUGUCUGGGAAUCUGCCUUAUGGAGGGGGAUAACUACUGGAAACUGUAGCUAAUACCGCAUACCAUCGGAUGUGCCCAGGUGGGAUUAGCUAGUUGGUGGGGUAACGGCUCACCAAGGCGACGAUCACUAGCUGGUCUGAGAGGAUGACCAGCCACACGGGAACUGAGACACGGUCCAGACUCCUACGGGAGGCAGCAGUGGGGAAUAUUGCGCAAUGGGGGCAAGCCUGAUGCAGCCAUGCCGCGUGUAUGAAGAAGGCCUUCGGGUUGUAAAGUACUUUCAGUGGGGAGGCGUUACCCGCAGAAGAAGCACCGGCUAACUCCGUGCCAGCAGCCGCGGUAAUUC
rnacentral:rRNA from 1 species